rnacentral:SRP_RNA from 1 species
GCUGGGCAUGGUGGCAUGUGUCUGUAGUCCCAGCUAUUCGGGAGGCUGAGGCUGGAGGAUCUCUUGAGUCCAGGAGUUCUGGGCUGUAGUGCGCUAUGCCGAUUGGGUGUCCAUACUAAGUUCGACAUCAAUAUGGUGACCUCCCAGGAGUGGGGUACCACCAGGUUGCCUAAGGAGGGGUGAACCAGCCCAGAUCAGAAACGGAGCAGAUCAAAACUCCCGUGCUGAUCAGUAGUGGGAUCGUGCCUGUUAGAAUAGCCACUGCACUCCAGCCUGGGCAACAUAGUGAGACCCCGUCUCU